rnacentral:lncRNA from 1 species
UCCUUGCCACGGUCAUGCGCCAUUCGGAUCUAGGAAAUAUGUGGCUAUGCGCCAGCGAGGUCCUGCGCCAGGAAGACAGAUCUCGCUUAUCACUGCAAUGCGAAUUCAAGAUCAAGAAUUCCUACUUCCGAGCGGGGCAACACAUCACCUACAGCAGAUUUCAACUUAUACAAGUGAUCUUCACCAUCUAAACCUAUGAUUCUUGCCAUCCAUCGACAUUCAAGCCUAGGAUCCUGAAUCUCCCUAGGUCAAUCGACCUAAAC